AUCACUAGGAACGACAUCAGGAAGUUCUUGCGCGGUCCAUUUAAUUUUACUUUGCAAGUGAUGUAUCGGACGCUAGGUGGCAGUAAAUACUGCUGGAAAAGGCGAGACGUCGCGUGACUCGAUGUUAUAACUCGCGCGUCCCCUGCGUGAUUACCGCGUGAUGCCGGUGGAGCGCGUGGCCGUGUGAGCCUGAAAGCAUGCGGACGGAGAGCUACCAGCUGGAAAUGCCGCCUGUUCUGCAGACCGCGGGAGGGAGAGCCGACCCACAGAUGGCGUGACAUAAGAGAGGGCUACAGAAAAACUCACGCCGCCUCCUGGCCUCUUUAUCCUCAGCGUGCCCAGAGGGGAUGGUCAGCCAGCUCGACCCUAAAUCAAACUGGAGGCUUGUUUUCUCUCUUUUAUUUCCAAUUCCUUUACACAAUUGUUAGACUAAAGUGUGUUAUGCCUUCCAGUGCCGCAUGUCGCUGGACUCCUUUGGAUGAUCAUGUUUGGAAAUGUGCUCUUAUAAUAAUAAAUUGUCCAGGCUGACUUA